CCUACGGGAGGCAGCAGUAAGGAAUAUUGGUCAAUGGAGGCAACUCUGAACCAGCCAUGCCGCGUGCAGGAUGACGGCCCUAUGGGUUGUAAACUGCUUUUAUACAAGAGAAAACCCUGGUACGUGUACCAGGUUGAUAGUAUUGUAAGAAUAAGCAUCGGCUAACUUCGUGCCAGCAGCCGCGGUAAGACGAAGGAUGCAAGCGUUAUCCGGAUUCAUUGGGUUUAAAGGGUGCGUAGGCGGACUGAUAAGUCAGUGGUGAAAUCUCUUUGCUUAACAAAGAAACUGCCAUUGAUACUGUCGGUCUAGAGUAUAGAUGACGUUGGCGGAAUAUGACAUGUAGUGGUGAAAUACUUAGAUAUGUCAUAGAACACCGAUUGCGAAGGCAGCUAACGAAACUAUAACUGACGCUGAGGCACGAAAGUGCGGGGAUCAAACAGGAUUAGAUACCCUGGUAGUCCGCACCGUAAACGAUGAUUACUCGUUGUUGGCGAUAUGACAGUCAGCGACCAAGCGAAAGCGAUAAGUAAUCCACCUUGGGGAGUACGCCGGCAACGGUUGAAACUUAAAUGAAUUGACGGNGNGAGACGNGCGAGGACGACGACGAGGAGGAG
rnacentral:rRNA from 1 species